UUCAUGGGAAGGGACAAGGUAGU
rnacentral:piRNA from 1 species